GCCGGAAUGAUGAAAUCGGCAGACAUACCUGACUUAAAAUCAGGAGCUGGCUAACCCAGCGUGUGGGUUCGAAUCCCACUUCCGGCACCU
rnacentral:tRNA from 1 species